ACGGGUGAGUAACACGUAGGUAAUCUACCUUCGAGUGGGGAAUAACAGUCGGAAACGGCUGCUAAUACCGCAUAAUGCAGCGGCAUCGCAAGAUGACAGUUGUUAAAGAUUUAUCGCUUGAAGAGGAGCUUGCGGCAGAUUAGCUAGUUGGUAAGGUAAUGGCUUACCAAGGCUACGAUCUGUAACCGGUCUAAGAGGACGGUCGGUCACACUGACACUGAAUAACGGGUCAGACUCCUACGGGAGGCAGCAGUCGGGAAUUUUGGGCAAUGGGCGAAAGCCUGACCCAGCAACGCCGCGUGAAGGAUGAAGUAUUUCGGUAUGUAAACUUCGAAAGAAUAGGACGAAUUAAUGACGGUACUAUUUAUAAGGUCCGGCUAACUACGUGCCAGCAGCCGCGGUAAUACGUAGGGACCAAGCGUUGUUCGGAUUUACUGGGCGUAAAGGGCGCGUAGGCGGCAUGACAAGUCACUUGUGAAAUCUCCGGGCUUAACUCGGAACGGCCAAGUGAUACUGUCACGCUAAAGUGCGGAAGGGGCAAUCAGAAUUCUUGGUGUAGCGGUGAAAUGCGUAGA
rnacentral:rRNA from 1 species